rnacentral:tRNA from 1 species
GGUAAGGUGACUGAAUUUUAAGUGGCGGAUUGUAACCCCGUAAAUAGAGGUUGACCCCUCUCCCUACCA